CAGUAGCCGCGGGAAAACAGAGGGUGCAAGCGUUAAUCGGAAUUACUGGGCGUAAAGCGCGCGUAGGUGGUUUGUUAAGUUGGAUGUGAAAGCCCCGGGCUCAACCUGGGAACUGCAUCCAAAACUGGCAAGCUAGAGUACGGUAGAGGGUGGUGGAAUUUCCUGUGUAGCGGUGAAAUGCGUAGAUAUAGGAAGGAACACCAGUGGCGAAGGCGACCACCUGGACUGAUACUGACACUGAGGUGCGAAAGCGUGGGGAGCAAACAGGAUUAGAUACCCCUGUAGUCCCUGUCUCUUAUAA
rnacentral:rRNA from 1 species